rnacentral:rRNA from 1 species
CAGCAGCCGCGGGAAAACGGAGGGUGCAAGCGUUAAUCGGAUUUACUGGGCGUAAAGCGUGCGUAGGCGGCUUCUUAAGUCGGAUGUGAAAUCCCUGAGCUUAACUUAGGAAUUGCAUUCGAUACUGGGAAGCUAGAGUAUGGGAGAGGAUGGUAGAAUUCCAGGUGUAGCGGUGAAAUGCGUAGAGAUCUGGAGGAAUACCGAUGGCGAAGGCAGCCAUCUGGCCUAAUACUGACGCUGAGGUACGAAAGCAUGGGGAGCAAACAGGAUUAGAUACCCCAGUAGUCCCUGUCUCUUAUAC